rnacentral:tRNA from 1 species
GCCCAGAUGGCGGAAUUGGUAGACGCGUUGGUCUCAAAAACCAAUGAGGUAACACUCGUGCCGGUUCGAUCCCGGCUCCGGGUACAA